rnacentral:lncRNA from 1 species
AUGUCCAUCAGCCCCUGCGCAUGGAUCUUGAAGCUCUUUAUCUGUCCUCCCAGCAGAGCCAUGCUGGUUGAAGUUUCCUUCCUGCCCUUUACCACUGUUGUCUCCUUGUUUGAUGUUCUGGGACAAAUGGCCAAGCCGGAUCUGUUAGAACUCCUGGGCAGUGGCUUUGUAGCAGAAGAUGCCCCCACCCCCAGAGUAAAACCAAGAUUUGGAUCCUGUCUCAAACAUCCUGGCCUGUGGAGAGCUGGGGGAAUGUCUUCCUCCUGACCCUUGCCACUCUGUGGCCUCUGCAGGCAAUGCCGACCUCACACAGACACCUCGAAGCACGGGCAUACUACUGUCUAGACUUAUUACAGGUCUGCAGGAGGAAGCAAGGCAUCGGAUUAAACCUGAGGAGAAAUGUGGCGCUGACUGUCUUGGCCCAAGAGGAUUGCAUUAUGUUAAUUAACCCCUUGUGACAGUAAACGUCAAAAGCUGAAUAAGAGACAUUAUUAGCCUGGCA